rnacentral:rRNA from 1 species
UGGGGAAUUUUGGACAAUGGGCGCAAGCCUGAUCCAGCCAUGCCGCGUGCGGGAAGAAGGCCUUCGGGUUGUAAACCGCUUUUGUCAGGGAAGAAAUCUUCUGAGUUAAUACCUCGGGAGGAUGACGGUACCUGAAGAAUAAGCACCGGCUAACUACGUGCCAGCAGCCGCGGUAAUACGUAGGGUGCAAGCGUUAAUCGGAAUUACUGGGCGUAAAGCGUGCGCAGGCGGUUUUGUAAGACAGAGGUGAAAUCCCCGGGCUCAACCUGGGAACUGCCUUUGUGACUGCAAGGCUUGAGUGCGGCAGAGGGGGGAUGGAAUUCCGCGUGUAGCAGUGAAAUGCGUAGAUAUGCGGAGGAAACACCGAUGGCGAAGGCAAUCCCCUGGGCCUGCACUGACGCUCAUGCACGAAAGCGUGGGGAGCAAACAGGAUUAGAUACCCUGGUAGUCCACGCCCUAAAACGAUGUCAACUGGUUGUUGGGAAGGUUCCUUCUCAGUAACGCAGCUAACGCGUGA